rnacentral:rRNA from 1 species
GUCCACGCUGUAAACUAUGAUUACUAGGUGUAGGGGGUAACACCCCCCUGUGCCGCAGCUAACGCAAUAAGUAAUCCGCCUGGGGAGUACGGUCGCAAGAUUGAAACUCAAAGGAAUUGACGGGGGCCCGCACAAGCAGCGGAGCAUGUGGUUUAAUUCGAAGCAACGCGAAGAACCUUACCAAGGCUUGACAUCCUCUGACCGCCAUGGAAACAUGGUUUCCCUUCGGGGCAGAGAGACAGGUGGUGCAUGGUUGUCGU